UGACCAUCAACAGAUGAAAAAGAAAAGUAACAGGACUGUAUGUGAAUUACCAAUGAUCUUUCAGAGGAACUCAUAUUUAAGCCACAAUCAACAUAUGGAACAGUUUCCACCACUCACAAGAAGCCCCCGCAUGCUGUUCUUUUGGGAACAUGCAAUGCCUUUUCUGCGGACUGCAUCCCGAACAGAAGCUGGAGUCAGUACAGAUCUUUAAAUCCCUGUUAUUUCCACUGAAUUUUGGGUGAGUUUCUUGCUGUGUGUGUUUUUUUUGUGAUUUCUUUGUUUUGAGAUUUAUUCUUUGUGAUGGCUAAUAUUGAGUGUCAACUUGAUUGGAUUGAAGGAUGCAAAGUAUUUAUUGUUCCUGGGUGCUUCUG
rnacentral:lncRNA from 1 species